rnacentral:rRNA from 1 species
UUUGAUAUUUAAUUACUAAUUAUUUUUGUUAUAGGUUGAGUAGUAUUGAAUGAAUUAACUUAAUGUUUAUGUAUUGAUAAAAGAUUUAAUUAGGAUGGUUAUAUAUUAUUUGUACUGUGAAGGAUAUAAAUAUUAAGAAUAAUUAUUUAUAAAGUAGAAUUUAUUUUUUGUACCUUGUGUAUCAGGGUUAAUUAAUUAAUAAUUAUUUAUGUUUAUUUAUCUCGAUAUCAUUAGAAUUAACUAAUUAUAUUAGUUAUUAUGGUAAGAAUAUUAAUAAUAUUUAGUUAGUAAUGAAAUGUUAAUCGUUAAUGAUUAUAUCUAGUUUUCUAGGAAAUAUGUUUAAUAUAUUCUUUUUCUUUAAAAGGUUAAUUUUUAUUUAAUUUUUGAGUUUAAGAAAUUAAGUAAGGGGAAAAGCUCUUAACUUAAAUUUUUAUAAGGAAAUUUAUUUGUAAAGGGUUGUGGAUUUAGUAUUGAUUAAUAUUAUGAGUAUGUUAAAAUUUUACUUUAUUAAUAUUAUUAUUUAGAUAUUUACUUUAAUUUUUUAUUAGAAUAUAGUUUAUAAUUUAGGAUACUUAUUAAUAAUGAUUAAAUUAGUAUAUAAAGUUGUUGUUAAUCAAUAAUUUAAAGGAAUUAGGCAAACAAAGAAGCAGAAGUGAUUUAUUCGCCUGUUUAUCAAAAACAUCUUUUCCUGAUUUGGAUUUAAUAGGAAGUAUGGCCUGCCCAAUGAAUUUUAAAUGGCCGCGGUAUUUUGACCGUGCAAAGGUAGCAUAAUCAUUAGUCUCUUAAUUAGGGACUGGAAUGAAUGGUUUGACGAAAUAAAAACUGUCUUUAUUUUAAAGUAUUUAAUUUAAUUUUUGAGUAAAAAAGCUUAAAUUUUUUUGUGGGACGAGAAGACCCUGUAGAGUUUAAAUACUUUUAGUGAAUUUUUUUAAGUGUGAAUAUUAUUAAGUAAUAGAGAGUAUUUGGUUGGGGUGACUGAAAGAUAAGUUUAACUCUUUUUGUUUAGUAAUUACUAAUUUGUAUAUAUUUGAUCCAUUACUAAUGAUUAUAAGACUAAACUACCUCAGGGAUAACAGCGUAAUCUUUUUUGAGAGUUCUUAUCGACAAAAAGGGUUGCGACCUCGAUGUUGGAUUAGGAUAAAUUAUUAAGUGCAGAAGCUUAAAUAUUAGGUCUGUUCGACCUAUAAAUUCCUACAUGAUCUGAGUUCAAACCGGCGUGAGCCAGGUUGGUUUCUAUCUAUAAAGUGGUAUAAUGUUUUAGUACGAAAGGACCAGGCAUUAAGAAUAAUUCUUUAUUAGUGACUAAUAAU